rnacentral:rRNA from 1 species
CACGUAGGGGGCGAGCGUUGUCCGGAUUUAUUGGGCGUAAAGAGCUCGUAGGCGGUUUCGUAAGUCGGAUGUGAAAACUCCAGGCUCAACUUGGAGACGCCAUUCGAUACUGCGAUGACUUGAGUCCGGUAGGGGAGUGUGGAAUUCCUGGUGUAGCGGUGAAAUGCGCAGAUAUCGGGAGGAACACCGGCGGCGAAGGCGGCACUCUGGGCCGGUACUGACGCUGAGGAGCGAAAGCGUGGGUAGCAAACAGG